GCUGGUUUUCAGCUUAUUUUAAUGUUCAAUUAAUUAAUUCUAGAGCUGAUAAAUUUACAAAAUAAAUUCAAAAUCAACUUACUAAGAUGGAUAAAGUUCCCACAAAACCAAAUUUAUUAGAUACAAGGCAAGAACUUGCAGAUUUGGUGAAACGUCGUUGUGAAUUAACGGACACAUUAGCGAUCCUAGAACGGCAAAUUUAUGCAUUCGAAGGUUCUUAUCUCGAAGAUACACAGCUAUAUGGAAACAUUAUUCGAGGAUGGGAUCGCUACACCGCUCCAGGAUCCAAACCCAGUGUCAGUGCCAAUACCAAGGCGGAUAAGAGGAAUAGAAAAUUUAAAGAAGCCGAACGACUCUUUUCAAAGUCUUCCAUUACGUCAAUGGCGGCCGUGAAUGGAUAUGUACAAGAGACGGAUAGGAAUAGCGAAUCUGAAUCCCAUGCCGCGGAAAGCGGUGGUGAAGAUAGUGCUAGCGGAUCUAUAAAAUCAUCAUCUCAUCAUCAUCACCACCAUCAUUCGCAUCAUCAUUCCAAAGCCUAUGAUUUAGGCAAAGUUUCAAAGUCGUCUCAUAAAGUUAAGAAGGGGAACAAGAAGAAACAUAAAUAGUCAAUAAAAAUUUAUAAACUUCCAUUUCCCUUCGGAUUAAUUCAAUUUGUGAUUCUCCAAACUGAACUAACUCUGCGACAAGAUUCUGUAACUUUGUAAUUAAUUUGUCCUUUAUAAUUAGUUGUGUAAGACUACAUACGGAUCAAACUUACUACAGAUAGUUUUACACAACUAAAUAUAAUACACCCCACCAAAACACAAAAUCUUGACUGCGAGUUGAAACACUGGAAUGUUGACUGUUUACGAUCUAAUUGUGACCACAGGAAAUUGAUAUAUUUAAUCAUUAUUAAUAUUGUUAUUUUCAAAAAUCAUUAUCGAUAGUUAUAGUUAAGAUUUCUGUCCAAAAAAUAUUUAUAUCUUAAUCUUGAUGUUGUAAAUAUUUGAAGCAAUGUAUGACGAAAGUAUAAUUCUGUUAAACGUAA